rnacentral:rRNA from 1 species
UACGUAGGGUGCGAGCGUUGUCCGGAAUUAUUGGGCGUAAAGGGCUCGUAGGCGGUUUGUCGCGUCGGGAGUGAAAACCCGGGGCUCAACCCCGGGCCUGCAGCCGAUACGGGCAGACUAGAGUUCGGCAGGGGAGACUGGAAUUCCUGGUGUAGCGGUGAAAUGCGCAGGAUAUCAGGAGGAACACCGGUGGCGAAGGCGGGUCUCUGGGCCGAUACUGACGCUGAGGAGCGAAAGCGUGGGGAGCGAACAGG